AUUUAGAGGAAGUAAAAGUCGUAACAAGGUCUCCGUAGGUGAACCUGCGGAGGGAUCAUUACACAAAUAGGUAGGCGGGCUGGAACCUCUCGGGGUUACAGCCUUGCUGAAUUAUUCACCCUUGUCUUUUGCGUACUUCUUGUUUCCUUGGUGGGUUCGCCCACCACUAGGACAAACAUAAACCUUUUGUAAUUGCAAUCAGCGUCAGUAACAAAUUAAUAAUUACAACUUUCAACAACGGAUCUCUUGGUUCUGGCAUCGAUGAAGAACGCAGCGAAAUGCGAUAAGUAGUGUGAAUUGCAGAAUUCAGUGAAUCAUCGAAUCUUUGAACGCACAUUGCGCCCUUUGGUAUUCCAAAGGGCAUGCCUGUUCGAGCGUCAUUUGUACCCUCAAGCUUUGCUUGGUGUUGGGCGUCUUGUCUCUAGCUUUGCUGGAGACUCGCCUUAAAGUAAUUGGCAGCCGGCCUACUGGUUUCGGAGCGCAGCACAAGUCGCACUCUCUAUCAGCAAAGGUCUAGCAUCCAUUAAGCCUUUUUUUCAACUUUUGACCUCGGAUCAGGUAGGGAUACCCGCUGAACUUAAGCAUAUCA
rnacentral:rRNA from 1 species